rnacentral:rRNA from 1 species
AGCAGCCGCGGUAAUUCCAGCUCCAAUAGCGUAUAUUAAAGUUGUUGCAGUUAAAAAGCUCGUAGUUGAACUUCGGGAUCAAGGAAUCGGUCAUGCCUUGGUAUGUACUGGUUUUAUUGGUUCUCACCUUCUAAAGAACCAUGAUGUCAUUCAUUUGAUGUUGUGGGGAAUCAGGACUGUUACUUUGAAAAAAUUAGAGUGUUUAAAGCAGGCUCACGCUUGAAUACAUUAGCAUGGAAUAAUGAAAUAGGACGUUUGAUUCUAUUUUGUUGGUUUCUAGGAUCGACGUAAUGAUUAAUAGGGAUAGUUGGGGGCAUUAGUAUUCAAUUGUCAGAGGUGAAAUUCUUGGAUUUAUUGAAGACUAACUACUGCGAAAGCAUUUGCCAAGGAUGUUUUCAUUAAUCAAGAACGAAAGUUAGGGGAUCGAAGACGAUCAGAUACCGUCGUAGUCUUAACCAUAAACUAUGCCGACUAGGGAUCGGAUGA